rnacentral:lncRNA from 1 species
GGGACAUCAAGCUCCGGUAAAAAACUAUGUGAAAUACCCUUAAAAAUUGUGGAAUGACUUGUAAGCUAAAAUUGUGAAGACUAGCACACUAAGGCAUAGCCUAGUGGUGGAAAUGAACUGAUGCCUUCCCACCCACCCAGGUUAAAGGCAUGGUACGUGUAAUUUGGGGUUGUUGCACCAAUUAUACAGUAGGAGCCUCACUUACCGUCUUCCUAUAAAAAAUGAAGACUACGGAUGGUUAACAAGUUGCGACUGCACAUACAUUCGUAGGACAAGUGAUGCUUGACAACAUAAGGUGGGCAUAGAUUUUCAUCUUAACUUUAAUCUAAGAAGCUUUUUUAGCGAAUUAGUCUGACAAGUUACUGGGUGCGUGAGCAAUUACAUACAUGUGCUGGAAGGUGUAUACUUUACGUCUCCCUGAAACACUUCAUAGAUUUCACUCCUCUUCCUCGUUUUUGAGUUUAUAUAUACUAUAAACCAUUGCAAGAACCAUGAAUGUAAGACAUCCACGUUCCUUUAUGCAGUUCUAGAUAGGUUGCAACUUCACUUGAAUCUGACAAGUUACUAGGUAUGUGAGCCAACCACAUACAUGUGUCGGUAGUUGGAUACUUUACAAAGAAUUCAUAGAUUUCUCUCUCCAUCCUGGUUUUGGACUUUAUAUAAGCCAUUGCAAGAACCAUGAAUGUAAAAUGUCCAGGUUCCUUUUAUGCCCUUCUAGAUAUGUUGAGAUGGUGGAAUGAGUAGCUAAUUUGCACCAUGGAUGAAUGGUAUCAUAGGGUACUAAUUAUUAGGAUUGGGAGGUAUUAGGACAACCAUUUCUAGCAGGACUGGAAUACCAUGUUGCUUCAUAUCAAAAUCAACAUAAAUAUCAGUAAGAUUCUGCACAUGUCAUAGUUGUCGAUCUUCGCUACCCAUUGGCAGGAUCGAAGCUCCAUGAGCUGGAGAAACAGGGUAAAUAGCUGCCUUCUCGGCGAUGGCUUGGUGUGUUCGGUAGGGGCGGAGCCAGGCCGGCAGCGCCCCGGUCCGCCUUCAAAAUUUGUCUACAUUUGGGCCUCAUAUCCUUAAUAAUUGCUACAAUCAACAAGUAAGUUGGGCCUCACGACCCGGGCCUAGGUCCCGCGGGCCUGGGUCCUGUCUCCGUCCCUGGUGUUUGGUGCAAUUGUGCAUUGUGGCUUGGUUUCUAAAGGCAAUGCGGUUUAAUCAAGGUUUUGGUUUUCGGUUUCUAUAUUUUUUCGCACAAUUGGAGUUCUCUUCUUGGAGAAAUUGUUGAUAGAUGUAAUUAUCUCUCCUAGUUCUUCAUGUAACAAUGAUAACUCAUAG